rnacentral:rRNA from 1 species
CUACGGGUUGCAGCAGUGAGGAAUAUUGGUCAAUGGCCGAGAGGCUGAACCAGCCAUCCCGCGUGCAGGAUGACGGCCCUAUGGGUUGUAAACUGCUUUUCUACGCCAAGAAAUCUGAUUACGUGUAAUUAGUUGACGGUAGCGUAGGAAUAAGCAUCGGCUAACUCCGUGCCAGCAGCCGCGGUAAUACGGAGGAUGCAAGCGUUAUCCGGAUUCAUUGGGUUUAAAGGGUGCGCAGGCGGGCUUGUAAGUCAGUGGGGAAAUACUGCCGCUUAACGGUAGAACUGCCAUUGAUACUGCAAGUCUUGAAUAUGGUUGAGGUAGGCGGAAUGUGUUGUGUAGCGGUGAAAUGCAUAGAUAUGACACAGAACGCCGAUUGCGAAGGCAGCUUACUAAGCCAUUAUUGACGCUGAGGCACGAAAGCGUGGGGAGCGAACAGGAUUAGAUACCCGGGUAGUC